GACGAACGCUGGCGGCGUGCCUAAUACAUGCAAGUAGAACGCACAGUUUAUACCGUAGCUUGCUCCACCAUAGACUGUGAGUUGCGAACGGGUGAGUAACGCGUAGGUAACCUGCCUGGUAGCGGGGGAUAACUAUUGGAAACGAUAGCUAAUACCGCAUAAUAUUAAUUAUUGCAUGAUAAUUAAUUGAAAGGUGCAAUUGCACCACUACCAGAUGGACCUGCGUUGUAUUAGCUAGUAGGUGAGGUAACGGCUCACCUAGGCGACGAUACAUAGCCGACCUGGGAGGGUGAUCGGCCUCACUGGGACUGGGACACGGCCCAGACUCCUACGGGAGGCAGCAGUAGGGAAUCUUCGGCAAUGGACGAAAGUCUGACCGAGCAACGCCGCGUGAGUGAAGAAGGUUUUCGGAUCGGAAAGCUCUGUUGUAAGAGAAGAACGGGUGUGAGAGUGGAAAGUUCACACUGUGACGGUAUCUUACCAGAAAGGGACGGCUAACUACGUG
rnacentral:rRNA from 1 species